UACGUAGGGGGCAAGCGUUGUCCGGAAUCAUUGGGCGUAAAGCGCGUGUAGGCGGCUCGAUAAGUCUGCUGUGAAAGUCCAGGCUCAACCCUGGGAUGCCGGUGGAUACUGUCGAGCUCGAGUCCGGAAGAGGUGUGUGGAAUUCCUGGUGUAGCGGUGAAAUGCGCAGAUAUCAGGAGGAACACCGGUGGCGAAGGCAGCUCGCUGGGACGGUACUGACGCUGAGGCGCGAAAGCGUGGGGAGCAAACAGG
rnacentral:rRNA from 1 species